rnacentral:lncRNA from 13 species
AUGAGGAAAAGCAACAUAUUGAAACGCUACAAGAGAAAAUCCAGACCAUAUCUCGGAGAGCCUCUGCUGCUGAGCAUGCUCUGGCCAUGGAGAAGAAUGAGGCAGCGCUACUCCGCCAGAGUUUCUCUUCUCUCUAGAAGAGGAAUGGUUUGGAGCAACCCAUCCUGGAGUGGGAUGGCAGCUCACUCUCCCUGCUGCCCUGAUUGUUCUUGGUGUGAUAUUACUAUGGAGGACCGUCCUUGCGGUAAACUUUUUGUAUUAUUACCAUGUUACAACCAUUUUCAUACACUUCAAUUACCUACUGAAAUGAAAGGAAUUGAGGGAAAGGCUCAUUUUGCAGUUUGA